GAACGGAAUAACCAGCCACUUCACCUCCAGAAACCCCACAGCCUACGCUGAGCAUCUACGUGUCGGGUACAGCCCCCGCGAGAUUCAGCUGGAGCAAGACAGAUUCGUUUGUGCACAUGGGGAGAUAGACCACAAACAAGUAGAGAAGCAAGGAGGACUAUCCACUCUUGGGUGCAAUUUCAGGCAGAGCUCCAGAAUUUCGGGAUCACCAGUGCUCCGUGGAAAAGGCCCAUUCCCACGUGGAGAGGGAC